rnacentral:rRNA from 1 species
AGCGAACGCUGGCGGCAGGCCUAAAACAUGCAAGUCGAACGCCUGUAGCAAUACAGGAGUGGCAGACGGGUGAGUAACACGUGGGAACGUACCCUUUGGUUCGGAACAACACAGGGAAACUUGUGCUAAUACCGGAUAAGCCCUUACGGGGAAAGAUUUAUCGCCAGAGGAUCGGCCCGCGUCUGAUUAGCUUGUUGGUGAGGUAACGGCUCACCAAGGCUACGAUCAGUAGCNGGUCUGAGAGGAUGAUCAGCCACACUGGGACUGAGACACGGCCCAGACUCCUACGGGAGGCAGCAGUGGGGAAUAUUGCACAAUGGGCGCAAGCCUGAUGCAGCCAUGCCGCGUGUGUGAAGAAGGCCUGGUGUAA